GAAUCUUCCACAAUGGACGAAAGUCUGAUGGAGCAAUGCCGCGUGAGUGAAGAAGGUUUUCGGAUCGUAAAACUCUGUUGUUAGGGAAGAACCAGUACGAGAGUAACUCCUCGUACCUUGACGGUACCUCAUUCGAAAGCCACGGCUAACUACGUUCCAGCAGCCGCGGUAAUACGUAGGUGGCCAGCGUUGUCCGGAAUUAUUGGGCGUAAAGCGCGCGCAAGCGGUCCCUUAAGUCUGAUGUGAAAUCCCACGGCUCAACCGUGGAAGGUCAUUGGAAACUGGGGGACUUGAGUACAAAAGAGGAAAGCGGAAUUCCAAGUGGAGCGGUGAAAUGCGUAGAGAUUUGGAGGAACACCAGUGGCGAAGGCGGCUUUCUGGUCUGUAACUGACGCUGAGGCGCGAAAGCGUGGGGAGCAAACA
rnacentral:rRNA from 1 species